rnacentral:rRNA from 1 species
UUGAACGCUGGCGGUAUGCUUAACACAUGCAAGUCGAACGGAAACGAUACUAGCUUGCUAGUAGGCGUCGAGUGGCGGACGGGUGAGUAACGCGUAGGAAUCUGCCUGAUAGUGGGGGAUAGCCCGAAGAAAUUCGGAUUAAUACCGCAUAAUCUAUUCGUAGUAAAGUGGGGGACUUUCGAGCCUCACGCUAUCAGAUGAGCCUGCGUAAGAUUAACUUGUUGGUAGGGUAAAAGCCUACCAAGGCGACGAUCUUUAGCUGGUCUGAGAGGAUGAUCAGCCACAUCGGGACUGAGACACGGCCCGAACUCCUACGGGAGGCAGCAGUGGGGAAUAUUGGACAAUGGGGGCAACCCUGAUCCAGCAAUACCGCGUGUGUGAAGAAGGCCUGAGGGUUGUAAAGCACUUUCAAUUGUGAAGAAAAGUUAGCGGUUAAUAACCGUUAGCCUUGACGUUAACUUUAGAAGAAGCACCGGCUAACUCCGUGCCAGCAGCCGCGGUAAUACGGAGGGUGCAAGCGUUAAUCGGAAUUACUGGGCGUAAAGCGUGCGUACGCGGUUUAUUAAGUCAGAUGUGAAAGCCCCGGGCUUAACCUGGGAACUGCAUUUGAAACUGGUCAACUAGAGUAUGGUAGAGGAAAGUGGAAUUUCUGGUGUAGCGGUGAAAUGCGUAGAUAUCAGAAGGAACAUCAAUGGCGAAGGCAGCUUUCUGGACCAAUACUGACGCUGAGGUACGAAAGCGUGGGUAGCAAACAGGAUUAGAUACCCUGGUAGUCCACGCCGUAAACGAUGAUAACUAGCCGUUGGGGGGAUUUACCCUUUAGUGGCGAAGCUAACGCGUUAAGUUAUCCGCCUGGGGAGUACGGCCGCAAGGUUAAAACUCAAAGGAAUUGACGGGGACCCGCACAAGCGGUGGAGCAUGUGGUUUAAUUCGAUGCAACGCGAAGAACCUUACCUGGUCUUGACAUCUUGCGAACUUUCUAGAAAUAGAUUGGUGCCUUCGGGAACGCAGUGACAGGUGCUGCAUGGCUGUCGUCAGCUCGUGACGUGAGAUGUUGGGUUAAGUCCCGUAACGAGCGCAACCCCUAUCCUUAUUUGCCAGCACAUCAUGGUGGGAACUAUAAGGAGACUGCCGGUGAUAAACCGGAGGAAGGCGGGGACGACGUCAAGUCAUCAUGGCCCUUACGACCAGGGCUACACACGUGCUACAAUGGGAAGGACAAAGAGCCGCGAAGCCGCGAGGUGUAGCUAAUUUCAUAAACCUUUUCGUAGUCCGGAUUGGAGUCUGCAACUCGACUCCAUGAAGUCGGAAUCGCUAGUAAUCGUAGAUCAGAAUGCUACGGUGAAUACGUUCCCGGGUCUUGUACUCACCGCCCGUCAA